CUGACACAGGGAGGUAGUGACGAUAAAUAACAAUGCCGGGCUUUCUAAGUCUGGCAAUUGGAAUGAGAACAAUUUAAAUCCCUUAACGAGGAUCAAUUGGAGGGCAAGUCUGGUGCCAGCAGCCGCGGUAAUUCCAGCUCCAAUAGCGUAUAUUAAAGUUGUUGCAGUUAAAAAGCUCGUAGUUGGAUUUCUGGUCGGAGCGAUCGGUCCGCCUCAUUCGGGGUGUGUACUUUGUGUCGUCUCCAGCCAUCCUUGAGGCGAGCUGUCCUGGCAUUGAGUUGUUGGGGCAGGGAACCUCAUCUUUUACUGUGAAAAAAUUAGAGUGUUUAAAGCAGGCUUACGCCGUUGAAUACAUUAGCAUGGAAUAAUAAGAUAGGACUUUGGUGGUCUAUUUGUUGGUUUGCACACCGAAGUAAUGAUUAAGAGGGACAGUUGGGGGU
rnacentral:rRNA from 1 species